rnacentral:tRNA from 1 species
GCUGUGGUGGUGCAGUGGUUAAGUGCUUGGCUGCUUACCAAAAGGUCGGUGGUUCAAUCCCACCCAGUGGCU